AUUGAACGCUGGCGGCAUGCCUUACACAUGCAAGUCGAACGGCAGCGGGGGAGAAGCUUGCUUUUCCUGCCGGCGAGUGGCGAACGGGUGAGUAAUACAUCGGAACGUGCCCUGUAGUGGGGGAUAACUAGUCGAAAGAUUAGCUAAUACCGCAUACGACCUGAGGGUGAAAGUGGGGGACCGCAAGGCCUCAUGCUAUAGGAGCGGCCGAUGUCUGAUUAGCUAGUUGGUGGGGUAAAGGCCUACCAAGGCGACGAUCAGUAGCUGGUCUGGGAGGACAAUCAGCCACACUGGGACUGAGACACGGCCCAGACUCCUACGGGAGGCAGCAGUGGGGAAUUUUGGACAAUGGGCGAAAGCCUGAUCCAGCAAUGCCGCGUGUGUGAAGAAGGCCUUCGGGUUGUAAAGCACUUUUGUCCGGAAAGAAAUGGCUCUGGUUAAUACCUGGGGUCGAUGACGGUACCGGAAGAAUAAGGACCGGCUAACUACGUGCCAGCCGCCGCGGUAA
rnacentral:rRNA from 1 species